rnacentral:rRNA from 1 species
UAGGGCGCAAGCGUUGUCCGGAAUUAUUGGGCGUAAAGAGCUCGUAGGCGGCUUGUCACGUCGGUUGUGAAAGCCCGGGGCUUAACCCCGGGUCUGCAGUCGAUACGGGCAGGCUAGAGUUCGGUAGGGGAGAUCGGAAUUCCUGGUGUAGCGGUGAAAUGCGCAGAUAUCAGGAGGAACACCGGUGGCGAAGGCGGAUCUCUGGGCCGAUACUGACGCUGAGGAGCGAAAGCGUGGGGGAGCGAACAGGAUUAGAUACCCUGGUAGUCCACGCCUCUCACCACGAUCUGACGCCUCGGCGCAAUACAGACCAAGAACGCAUCGCUACUGUAACGCAUUAAGUGCCCGCCUGGGGAGUACGGCCUGAAGGCUAAACUCAAGGAAUUGACGGGGGCCCUGCACAAGCGGCGGACAUGUGGCUAAAUUCGAACGCAUCGCGAAGAAACCUUUACCAAGGUUGGAACAUACAUCUGGUAAACGU